CAAGGUGUCUUCGGACGCCGGCAAACGGCUCAGUAACACGUAGGUAAUCUACCCUCAGGACUGAGAUAACCCCGGGAAACUGGGGCUAAUACCAGAUAGAUAAAAGAUACUGGAAUGUUCUUUUAUCCAAAGCUUUUGUGCCUGAGGAUGAGCCUGCGCCCGAUUAGGUAGUUGGUGGGGUAAUGGCCCACCAAGCCUGCGAUCGGUACGGGCAGUGGGAGCUGUAGCCCGGAGUUGGGGACUGAGACAAGGCCCCAGGCCCUACGGGGCGCAGCAGGCGCGAAACCUCUGCAAUGCGGGAAACCGUGACAGGGGGAUUCCAAGUGCUCAUGCAUUGCAUGGGCUGUUCUUUGGUCUAAGUAACCAGAGGAGUAAGGGCUGGGCAAGACCGGUGCCAGCCGCCGCGGUAAUACCGGCAGCUCGAGUGGUAGCCGCGAUUAUUGGGCCUAAAACGUUCGUAGCCGGAUAAGUAAGUCUUUGGUUAAAUCCUACGACUUAACCGUGGGAAAUCUAGAGAUACUGCUUGUCUUGAGACCGGGAGAGGUUGGAGGUACUCCCAGGGUAGGGGUGAAAUCCUGUAAUCCUGGGGGGACCACCUGUGGCGAAGGCGUCCAACUGGAACGGCUCUGACGGUGAGGGACGAAACCUAGGGGAGCGAGCCGGAUUAGAUACCCGGGUAGUCCUAGGCGUAAAUGAUGCGAGUUAAGUGUGGGGGCAUCUACGAGAUGGCCCUGUGCUGUAGGGUAGCCGUUAAACUCGCUGCCUGGGGAGUACGGUCGCAAGGCUGAAACUUAA
rnacentral:rRNA from 1 species